UACGGAGGAUCCGAGCGUUAUCCGGAUUUAUUGGGUUUAAAGGGUGCGCAGUCGGGAGAUUAAGUCGGCGGUGAAAUUUUGCAGCUCAACUGUAAAAGUGCCUUCGAAACUGGCUUCCUUGAGUGUGGAUGAAGUAGGCGGAAUUUGUGGUGUAGCGGUGAAAUGCAUAGAUAUCACGAGGAACUCCGAUUGCGCAGGCAGCUUACUAAGCCAUAACUGACGCUCAGGCACGAAGGCGUGGGGAUCAAACAGGAUUAGAUA
rnacentral:rRNA from 1 species